UUCUUCUUUUCCUUAUUUGGUGUUUUCAGUAAUCAAUUUUACUGUUUCUGGAAUUCCGUUUUCAAAAUUUUGAAUUUGCCUUUGAUUUAUUAUUGUAUGUUUCUGGAAUUUAGUUUAGGUGUUAGGGUUUAUCUGUUGGUUCUACUUUUAAUUUUGUGAUUUAUAGCUUUUUUUUUUAUAAAUUGAUUUAUGUUGGGGAAAAUAAUAGAUAAUGAUAAAUUGAUUCUACAGAAGAAGAUGUGUGUAGAACAUGAUCUCUAUUGUGGAUUAAAUGGGGGCAAUUGAUUUACUGCAAUCUGUGAUUUUGGUAUCGGUGUAAGCGAUAUCGACUUUGGUAGUCAGUGGAUGAAUUCAACAAUUACAAAUCUGAGUAUCAAAUCAGCUCUCAAGUCUUAACAAUUACACACGAAUGACUGUUUUAAUUCUCAAGUUGAAACGACUUUAGAUAUAAUUAGCUUCAAUGAGGUUUAUGAGACCAUCAUCAUCAUCAUCAUCAUCAUCAUCAUUCAUCACUAUUGUUAAUUUGUUAUUAGUUAUUACAGGGGAAUCAUGCAACCUGGAAUCAUUCAGCUUGUCGAUGACUCUAAAUUGAAUCAACUUCAUUUCUAUUUUAUCUACAAUACUUGUGGAUUCCUUUUUAUUUAAGAAGCUUCAGUUUCUGCCACGCUUUAUACAAUACAAUUACCGGCCCAUCCUCUACAAUUGUAUCUUCAAAAUUAUCCCUUAGUUUCAUUCUCAACUACCGGAUUCCCCAUUGAUUCUAAUAUUCUAUCAUCUACAGCAUUUAAAUCUUCGAUUAAAAGUAGUAUAUUAACUCCACAUAGGCUUCCUAUUUCCAACUGAAUAAACUACUGGCAAAGAUAUACCAAGUGUUGCUAGGUUUUACAACAACAGAACAGAUUAUCUUUACUCAAAAUAAUCUAUUCAUGUCAGAUUCAUCAAUUGUUGCUUCCAUCCUAACCCAAAUUAUAACUUCUGGAGAGAAAUCAUAAUUGCAUUCCCAGUGCCAAAUAUUGUUCAACUUCUUCUUCAUAAUCUUAUCUUCAUCUUUCAGCGAUACUCAAGUCUAUAAUAGCAAGGUAAUAUCUAUUUUAAUAAUAGCUAUAAAAUGUUAUUUCAGAUACUUUAUUGGAUCAUCAGCACCCCUUGUAUAAUCAUCUUAGUAAUAUGACUGUCUCCUCUAUCACCUCCUCAUUCUCCUUGUUUGGCUCAGGUGGCUUGAUCAUGCCUGUAGUCACUGAAGAAGAAUUGUCAAUUUUCAAUCAUGGCAUAUUAUGGGACAUUGCUGGCAAAAUGGUGGAGACCAAUCAUAAACUUUUUCAAUAUUUUCCCCUUUAAUAACUCCCUUAUAUGACAGUGAUAUCCAUCUGGAUCAGCAUAUCCUGCCAAAAGACAUACUCUUGCUUGUUCAUUCAUCUGCAAAUAAAGGUCCCCGGCUUAGUAAAUCUACAUUCCAGCAAUUUAAAAAGGCAAGUUUGGAAGUCUUAUCCAUUGAGGAAUAACCCUCAACACCUCCUCACGGUAGUUAAAAUUGGCUGACCAUUCCUUAACAACCGUUGGUCUUCCAUCAAAAGAAUGAGGUCCAGCAUAAGGAACCUCAUUCUUUAUCAUCAGUAAUAGAAAACCUGGUGAUAAAACAAUCAUCAUCAUGUAGAUAAACAUAAGGUUUACCCACAUGGUUCCGCUCAUUAGCAAUAAAUCUCGUUACAGUCAUUAUAGAAGGUGUAUCUCCAACUACAAACAUGACCACUGCAUUUUUCCAACUUCUGAGAGCUGGCCAGCUUCAGAUUUCUUUAGUCUAGCAAUAUUCUUCUUAAUUGCUCAAGUAAUUAUAUUUCCUAUAAGAACUGAGGCCUGUUGAUUAAUGAGGAAGAACAAGUGCCCAUGUUUCAUUGGUUCAUGGGACUCAGAUUCCCCAAUAUUACCAGUUAUAUUAGCCAUUCAACUAUUGCAUAAUUUGCAACAUUAGAUACAGAUACUUUGGGAGGAAACAUUUCAUCACAAACAUUAGCUAGUCCGUCAUUUUUUUUAUAAUAAUACUCAUUCUUCAGUGGCUCUCCUUGACCUUUCAUUAGGAAUACAACUUCUAUUCUGCUUUCCAUGCACAAACAGUUAAUUUCACUAGUUUUUGGCAACCCAAUAACCAUUUGCUUCUGUCUUAACAGAUUCAAGUUUUAAACCCUUUAUUUUAGACGACCAUAUUUAAAUGCUGUAAUUGUGCAACAUUAUUCAUACUGUGUUAGAUUGGAUUUUAAGAUUCACAAGUUCGAUAGAUAAUGAUUAAUGAGCAAGAACCAAAACAUACUGCACAUUUUCAAAAAGUUUCACAUUUCCCUUAACAGUGUUGAUGGAAAUGGUAUUCUUUUCUGAAACCGUAAUUUGUUUAUCUAUCCAACUCUCUGUGGAUCCUAAGUUCUUAAAUAACAGACUUUUUUGUGUAUUUUUUUCUCUGGUCUCUUUUUUAUGCAUCCCAUCAUACAUUGUUUUGCUUAUCUCUGUUCCAAAGUGUUUGUUCGGGUUUACUUUUCACGCAUAUUGAGGUGGAUUUGAAAUGAAUAGGAUUCAGCCAAUUAUGUAUUACUAUUAAGGCUCUGUUUGGCAAGCACUUUCAGUCACCUUAAAUGAUUAGGUGCUAUUAGUAUAAGUCACCUUAAAUGAAUAGAUGUGUUUGGUAAGGAGCUGAAAUAUAAUUUAAGGUGGGUUAACAGACUGAAAUGCAGACGUUAUUCAAAGUAACGUCUGUAGGCGUUUUUUUCCUUCAACCAAAACCCAUAAAAGUUGAUUAAUCAAAUAAAACUAAAAAAAGUCCCCAGGAUCAAUAUUAGGAGGUUAUAUUACAGUAAAGGUUGCAAAUUUGAUAUGCCAAAAUCCUACGGAGUAGAAUUUAAUCCAAACAAAAGUUUAUAUAAGCCAAUAAGCCAUUGAAUCUCGAAUCUCCAAGAUUUUUUUUAUCAGAAAUAAACUAGAAGAAGGCAAGAAGAAAAUAGAAGGAUAGGGGAGAUACUAAGAUAGUUGACUGCUAGUACAGGGUGGAGGAUUUGAUUCAUUUGAUCCCGUUGAGGAAUGAAGAGUAGAUGAAAAGUAGGGAAGGUGAAGUUCUUAGGGUUGGGCUAUUGGCUUUUAUUGGUUUUACAGGAAGGGUUGGGCUUUAUGAGGAAGGUAUGUCCUUGUUUUUGUGUUCACAUUAUGGAAUACCCGUAAAAAAACAUUACAGAUAAAUAAACAAAAUUAGGAGUUACUUGAGAUUGUGUAUUUUAUUUGUAACUAUUCGUGACAAAACAAUAUUUAGAUGUGGUAUACCGGUAUUAUAUAGAAAAUGAAUUUAACAAUUACUUAAAAUUUCAGGUACUUAUAAAAUUAGUUUUACCAAACAGUUGGUGUAAAUCGGUAUCUUAUCAUUUUCAGGACCUUAUUAAUUUCAGGUGCUAGCUUAUCAAUUUCAGUUACCUUAUCAGUUUCAGCUCAAUUUCAGCUAAUGUUACCAAACGGAUAGAAUAAGGUGAUUAAAUGGUGUGCAUAUAUCAAUCAUCAAAGACGGCAAUAGAUAGGCAAAUCAAAUUAGUUAAUUGGAAAAUGACCUAAGAGUGAUGCACAAGGUGGAUGAGGCACUCUAUACAACCCUCUUUAAAUAUACAGUAUUUAUCGGGAUUUAGAGGGAUAAAUGCAAGUCCAAGAAUAUGCCGGAGACCCAAGAGGUCUUUGGUAUUAUCAAUUAUGAAAGGACAAUUUGUUCUAAGACAAGGGUGACUUUUUAGACAAAUGGCUUAUGUAGGUUGCAGUCUCAUAUAGUGACCGGCUUAUAGUAUAAUGGUUGAUGACCUGUGUGAAGCAGGGAGAGUUGAUGAAGUUGCUGGGUUUCGUAGGAGCUUGGAUAAUGCAUGCUAAUGGUUGUAUGCAAACAUCGACUACAUAUAGUUUGGUGUAGAGAAUUGUACCGAAGACAUGCAAAUACAUUUCUCGACAUGGCAAAAGAGGGUGUAGGUGCUGAUCUGGUGGUAUUUAGUGCUGAUAAAUUCCAGAAAUAUAUGUAACUUGAGUGAAAAAAUUAGAUGGGUGGUAAAGGUGAUAUACCUAAUAUUAGGACUUACGACAUGAAAUUGGACAGGGGCACAUUGAUGACUGAAUGAAGUUUUCAAGGUUUUUAAAAGGAUGAUUACAGAUUAAUAGUGUGUGAUGUUCUUUGACAGAGAACAAUUGGAGAUGACUCUGAGGUGUUGAAGUACAAGCAUGAAUACCUAUUCAUUUCUGAUUAAUUGGUAUUUACUAUUUAGAUGUCCUUGAGUUUGUUCAAGAAAAGAAGGAUCUUUUAGUUAAGGAGCCUCUAUGUGAUUGAAGAUAUACAUAGAUUGAGUCAGAAGCAACACAUCACCCAACCUCCGUCUCCCUCUUGAAUUUCAGGGUUGAUAAUAAGAAGACCCUGUAAAGACUUGCUGUUUCCUGGGUGUGUUGGAGCAGAUUUGCUGUUUCCUUUUCUCUACCUGUUGUUCCAUUCCCUGAGACCAAGACGGCAGCCUUUGUUAUCUCCCAACUAACUCAUCAUUUUAGUCAAAGAUUGCUGCAUGAUGUACGUUCGAUCAUGAGCUAGAUAGAUCACGAAGAACUCGUACAUUUGAUCGACUAAAUGUUCCAAGAGCUAAAACAGGAAGCUAUCUAUGUCUCAGCGUGACCAUGUCAUAUUAAGUUGCAAAAUGGAAGUUUGAUACAAAGAGGAGCUCAACAUGUCCGCCAAUCACUUGAUAAUUUGAGUCUUGGUUGAAUAUGUGAAUCAAAAAACAUCAAUCAAGACUUAUAACUUUCAAGAGGCUCGAAUUACAUCUCAUCUACUGAAAUUUAAAGGCUGUUCAGUACUCUCCUACAUUGUAAGAUCUUCAAUUCAUAAUGUCUUAGAAUGAAAUUUCUAAUCAUAUAACCUUAUAAGUUAUAAUACAAUCCUAUUACCUAUAC